UACGGAGGGUGCAAGCGUUGUUCGGAUUCACUGGGCGUAAAGGGUGCGCAGGUGGCGCUUCAAGUUUGAUGUGAAAGCCCCGAGCUCAACUCGGGAAUGGCAUUGAAUACUGGGGUGCUUGAGGUUUGGAGGGGGGACUGGAAUUCUCGGUGUAGCAGUGAAAUGCGUAGAUAUCGAGAGGAACACCAGUGGCGAAGGCGAGUCCCUGGACAACACCUGACACUGAGGCACGAAAGCCGGGGGGGCAAACAGG
rnacentral:misc_RNA from 1 species